UGGGCAGACUUCAGAGGGCAGUUGCUUGUUUUCUGAAGAUACCUGGUCAGCUUCCUUGCCAGGUUCCUGAACUAGAAUCUGACAAGAAGGGCCACGGAUACUGGAAAUG
rnacentral:lncRNA from 1 species